GUUAAGCUCUAUAGGGUCUUCUCGUCCUAAAGAAAAAUUUAAGCCUUUUGACUCAAAAUUAAAUUCAAAAAUUUAUUAAGAGACAGUUGAUUUCUCGUCAAGCCAUUCAUUCCAGCCACUAAUUAAGAGACUAAUGAUUAUGCUACCUUUGCACGGUCAAAAUACC